CUACACCUCAGUGGGACCUGAUAAGAUCCAAUAAAUCAAAUUCCACAUGCUUUUCCUGGAACACCAGCGUGUCUCAAGGAGAAAAGCAGGGCUGAGUUUAAAUGUGCUGGAAAACACAAAUUGAAUUUCAGUGCCUUCAAGCCUGAUGCCCAAUUUGUAAAUGCAUCAAACUGCUAUAUUUGAAUGUUUAUUUAAAUUAAUACUAUUAUUGCAAAGAGGUGAGCUGUUGAACAUCAGCCUGUAGGAAAAACUGAUUUUAAUACAUGGUGAGUAUUCCUUAAUUCCUUCCUUUCACAAUGCUCUGCAUUGCUUUGAUGGAAGUUCAAGGGAUUUGUGUGUGUUGUGAUGGGAAACCUGAAGCUUCGAGUCCAUAAACUCAUGAAUUGAGAGAAACAGGUUUCAUUUAGGCACUACAACUUUUGAAAAAUCUACAAAACACAAAAUUCAGAUUUACUUAGAAAACAAAAGGCAACAAGUAUUGUGCCUUGAGUAUGAGGUUUGAAGAGCACAAAUUUUCCAGUUCUGCAGUGAAUUUUACAUUCUAGAUGACAGAAAAAUUGGGGAAAAAAGGACAAAGCAAAACCAAGUUGCUUUCUUUCACGAAGAACGUUUAAAUCGUUUCUUGAUAAAGACUUUAAGCCAGUCACCAAGGCUGCCUCCACUGCAGUAAACAAGGAACGAGAGGAAUUUCACUGAAACCAAGGAGGGAUUGGGGAGUGGAAGGUAAAGGCUCGGUUAACCUGAAACAGAGAAACAUUUACAGCCAAGUGUAUCCCAACUGUCCUGGUUUCACAGGCGGUUAUUCACGGUUCCAACUGCAGGGUGUGACUGCACUGCUCAAUUCCUCUUUUCUCUUUCAAAACCAUGUCCUGGCAACAAAGCUCUGCUCCUGCUGCUGAGGGGACAAGGCACUGCUCAUUUUUAUCGAGUUCAAAAAUAUUCACAUUAAAACGUCAAGGAUCGGUAAGAACGGUCAGGAGGGUUGAGCUGCGUAAGAAGAGCAAGCACCAAUCUGUCCAGCUUUUUGAAAUAUCAAAGUGUAACCUGGAAAACUGGAGUGCAUUAAAAGCAAUAAAUGAUGGGUGUGUGCAUGGAAAAAAAAAAAAAAAAGUGGGUAAAUUCCACUGUGCUGACACCUGCUGCUUCCAUGACUCGUUUUUCCUCCUUUCCUUUGGCACACAGCGGUACCUGGGAGGGAAAUGGAAAGUGCUGCUCGCCUUCUGCAAAUACCACAUAACCCAGGAUUUUCACUUCAGGCUAAUCUGAGGGUCAGAGAACCGAGUCAACUCCUCCCAGCUCUCCUUUUAGUACUAUUUCUUUAAUCUCCAGUGCAUUCUGUGGGCUGUAAAUUGCUGCUGCCAUUGCAGAGGUGUUGUGGGCUCACAGGACAUUUUUUGGCUCCAAAGACUGUUCCAGGUUUCUAAAAAGCCAGUGCCGUCCCAGGUUGGUGGUGAGAUGUUUUUUUUUUAUUCCGUGUAAAAUUGUAUUUAAAAUCUCAGGGAUUGUACAGCACAUGCCUGUAGGAGGGGAGGCUGUCAAAGGGCCAGGAAAAUAGGGUGAACUAUUCCAAAUAACUGAAUAAUAAAUAAUGUCCUUUCCAAGUAUCCA
ensembl:lncRNA